UACGUAGGGUGCAGGCGUUAAUCGGAAUUACUGGGCGUAAAGCGUGCGCAGGCGGUUUUGUAAGUCCGUCGUGAAAUCCCCGGGCUCAACCUGGGAAUUGCGAUGGAGACUGCAAGGCUAGAAUCUGGCAGAGGGGGGUAGAAUUCCACGUGUAGCAGUGAAAUGCGUAGAGAUGUGGAGGAACACCGAUGGCGAAGGCAGCCCCCUGGGUCAAGAUUGACGCUCAUGCACGAAAGCGUGGGGAGCAAACAGG
rnacentral:rRNA from 1 species